AGCGGUGCUGGUAUAGCCCGCUUGUUUUGUUUUUUCUAAGAAAAUACUGAAGCGGUCUGGAUGAUCAUUCAUCCAGACCGCUU
rnacentral:tRNA from 2 species